AUUGUGCCUACUUCGUCUCUCUAGCAAUUCACUAAUAAAAGUAGAUAAUUUAGUAAAUGCCUAUGAUUUUAAAUUUAAUUACGAGGCGAUGGGGGAAAUUUCGUAGAGAAAGGGCACGUAUGAGAAAUUGAGGAAAAAAUGGUCUCCAUAUGAAAACAGAUGAUGACGUUGAGAAUAAACGAAAACGAGGGAAUAGUGAAUGAACACUGGUUGAGUGUGAAACUACAUGAAUUCAGCUUUUAUCUGCACAGUAUUAUCACAGAAACUUUCAAGAAAGCAACAUCAGAAUGUAAAUACCAAGACUUGUUUAAAAAGUUGCUUCAACUAUUUUGCUUUCAUACUUUCCAACCAUUUAUUGGGACAGAAAAGACGUUAAUAAUUGGACACACCAUUUCAUCAAAGGCUGACAUCAUUUGCUCUAGACUGGAUACCAGAUCUGAUGG